GGAAUUACUGGGCGUAAAGCGUACGUAGGCGGAUUAGUAAGUUAGAGGUGAAAUCCCAGGGCUCAACCCUGGAACUGCCUUUAAUACUGCUAGUCUAGAGUUCGAGAGAGGUGAGUGGAAUUCCAAGUGUAGAGGUGAAAUUCGUAGAUAUUCGGUGGAACACCAGUGGCGAAGGCGGCUAACUGGACUGGUACUGACGCUGAGGUGCGAAAGUGUGGGGAGCAAACAGGAUUAGAUACCCUGGUAGUCCACACCGUAAACGAUGAGAGCUAGUUGUUGGCAGGCAUGCCUGUCGGUGACGCAGCUAACGCAUUAAGCUCUCCGCCUGGGGAGUACGGUCGCAAGAUUAAAACUCAAAGAAAUUGACGGGGGCCCGCACAAGCGGUGGAGCAUGUGGUUUAAUUCGAAGCAACGCGCAGAACCUUACCUACCCUUGACAUACCGAUCGCGGUUUCCAGAGAUGGAUUCCUUCAGUUAGGCUGGAUCGGAUACAGGUGCUGCAUGGCU
rnacentral:rRNA from 1 species